AACCCCUUGCUAUGCGAGGGGUUCUAAAGAGCUUCUAGCUAUGGACAAGAAAAAAACCCCAGUCGUACAAUGAAUUCAGGUCUGGUCAACCGACUUCGUACGAAAG
rnacentral:sRNA from 1 species